rnacentral:rRNA from 1 species
GACGAACGCUGGCGGCGUGCUUAACACAUGCAAGUCGAACGGAAAGGCCCUGCUUUUGUGUGGUGCUCGAGUGGCGAACGGGUGAGUAACACGUGAGUAACCUGCCCUUUACUUUGGGAUAACUUCAGGAAACUGGGGCUAAUACCGGAUAGUAUCUCCUGCUGCAUUGUGGUGGUUGUAAAGUUUCGGCGGUUGGGGAUGGACUCGCGGCUUAUCAGCUUGCUGGUGGGGUAGUGGCUUACCAAGGCUUUGACGGGUAGCCGGCCUGAGAGGGUGACCGGCAACAGUGGGACUGAGAUACGGCCCAGACUCCUACGGGAGGCAGCAGUGGGGAAUAGUGCACAAUGGGCGGAAGCCUGAUGCAGCAAGGCCGCGUGCGGGAUGACGGCCUUCGGGUUGUAAACCGCUUUCGCCUGUGACGAAGCGUGAGUGACGGUAAUGGGUAAAGAAGCACCGGCUAACUACGUG